AGAUUGAACGCUGGCGGCAUGCCUUACACAUGCAAGUCGAACGGUAGAGUAGCAAUACUUGAGAGUGGCGAACGGGUGAGUAAUAUAUCGGAACGUGCCCAGUCGUGGGGGGAUAACGUAGAGAAAUUUACGCUAAUACCGCAUACGAUCUAAGGAUGAAAGCGGGGGACCGUAAGGCCUCGCGCGAUUGGAGCGGCUGAUAUCAGAUUAGGUUGUUGGUGAGGUAAAAGCUCACCAAGCCGACGAUCUGUAGCUGGUUUGAGAGAACGACCAGCCACACUGGGACUGAGACACGGCCCAGACUCCUACGGGAGGCAGCAGUGGGAAUUUGGACAAUGGGCGAAAGCCUGAUCCAGCAAUGACGCGUGCAGGAAGAAGGCCUUGGGUGUAAACUGUCUUUUAGACGGAACGUAACGGUCUGUCUUUAAUACGAGUAGGCUAAGUGAACGGUACCGUAAAGAACUAA
rnacentral:rRNA from 1 species